rnacentral:rRNA from 1 species
GACGAACGCUGGCGGCGUGCUUAACACAUGCAAGUCGAACGAAGUGGCGAACGGGUGAGUAACGCGUAAUCACCUUGCCCUUCAGCGGGGGACAACAGUUGGAAACGACUGCUACUAUCGCAUACUGAAGGAGGGGAUUGCGUCUGAUGAGCCAGUUGGAGGGGUAACGGCCCACCAAGGCGAUGAUCAGUAGCCGGUCUGGGAGGGUGAACGGCCACAUUGGGACUGGGACACGGCCCAGACGCGUACGGGAGGCAGCAGUGGGGAAACUUCCGCAAUGGACGAAAGUCUGACGGAGCAACGCCGCGUGAGUGAUGACGGCCUUCGGGUUGGAAAGCUCUGUUAAUCGGGACGCGGUACCGGAAUAGAAAGCCACGGCUAACUACGUGCCAGCAGCCGCGGUAAUAC